CCUACGGGAGGCAGCAGUGAGGAAUAUUGGUCAAUGGGCGCAAGCCUGAACCAGCCAAGUCGCGUGAGGGAUGACGGUCCUAUGGAUUGUAAACCUCUUUUGUCGGGGAGCAAGGCCCGCCACGUGUGGCGGGAAGGAGAGUACCCGCAGAAAAAGCAUCGGCUAACUCCGUGCCAGCAGCCGCGGUAAUACGGAGGAUGCGAGCGUUAUCCGGAUUUAUUGGGUUUAAAGGGUGCGUAGGCGGAAGGUUAAGUCAGCGGUCAAAUGUCGGUGCUCAACACCGGCCUGCCGUUGAAACUGGUCGUCUUGAGUGAGCGAGAAGUAUGCGGAAUGCGUGGUGUAGCGGUGAAAUGCAUAGAUAUCACGCAGAACUCCGAUUGCGAAGGCAGCAUACCGGCGCUCAACUGACGCUGAGGCACGAAAGCGUGGGGAUCGAACAGGAUUAGAUACCCCAGUAGUC
rnacentral:rRNA from 1 species